rnacentral:lncRNA from 1 species
GACACGGGCACACAGACACGGGCACACAGACACGGGCACACAGACACGGGCACACAGACACGGGCACACAGACACUGCAAGAAAAAUGCCAGUACAGAAGACACUGCCAGCCAGAAAGCCCUAUGAGGCCACAACCAUGUGGCUCGGAUGCUCUGGAUGAGCCCAGAAAAGAGUCAAACACCACUGCCCCAAUGGAAAGGGCCUGGCAAAGCCAGGCAGAUCGAUGCGGAAGAGGCCGCCAAGAAAGAACUAAGGAUGUGACAAUGCAGGGAAGAAAACCCUGAAAGGAGGCCAGGAAGAUGCAAAACAAGGGCAGCCUCAGAAGAGGAAUGGCCGACGAGGCCUCGAUGAGGGCCACAGAGAUGACUGGCCACAAACAGCCACGGUGCAAAGAUGGAGCAACAGAUGACCCCUUUUAGCUGGCUGCACAGAACAAGAUGCCAUCCACAGGCACAAAACUGACACGUCAGACCACUCAAAAGACAGAUGCCUACCACACUAGUGCUACACAGCAUGCUCCUUGAGCACAAGGAACAAGAGCAACAUCAAGACCUGAGCAAAAGAUAGCACAGCUACAACAUGCACCACAUAGACUACACAACAUCACAGACACAGGCUGGAGCUGCCCUGCCUAAAACACACUCACCUUCUGCCACACACACCCCACCACCUCUGCCUCACACACAGCACUCAUCCAGAAGAGCCCUCCACAUCAUACUCACUGUCAGCACACACACAGACACACCACCAAGACACACCAACACCCUUUGCCCCUCAGCUUAGCCUUUGCACUGCUCUGGGUCACCAUCCAUCCUCAACAGGCAUCCUCAAUAGCAGCCGCAUCCUCUCUGAUCUUCCUCCAGUCACCACAUUCACCUUCAUCACCUGCCAAAACAGAGCACAAGCGGUCACCCCCACGCCAGUCAGCUCCAGCCUCAUCCGCAAGAGCACCCUCCACACCAAAGCCCCACUGGCGCUGCACUCACCUGCACUGCCCCAAUCCCAAACUCCAACAUUGUGGCUGGCGGGACACCUACGGCACUUGCAAAAAACAAAACAACAACGUUUCUCCUCUGUCAGGCAACACUCACCAACCCCACAACACCCAACACCAGUCAACAUUCCAGGCCAGCACUACUCUCCUCUGCACACUGCCAUAGCUAAAACCCACAAGCAAGGCAGCUCCAGCACCAGACAGACAGACACACAAACAUCAGACACAGACAUGAAGGAAAGCCCUACACAAAAAGAACUACUCCUACACAUAAGACACUGCCAGCCAGAAAGCCCUAUGAGGCCACAACCACAUGGCUCUGAUGCACUCAAUGAGCCCAGAAGAGAGUCAAACGCCACUGCCCGUGACAGAAAGGGCCCGGCAAAGCCAGGCAGAUCAAUGCAGAAGAGGCCAGCAAGAAAGACCUAA